rnacentral:rRNA from 1 species
GAUGAACGCUAGCGGCAGGCUUAAUACAUGCAAGUCGAACGCCCUAGCAAUAGGGAGUGGCGCACGGGUGAGUAACGCGUGGGAAUAUACCUUGUAGUGGGGAAUAACGUUGGGAAACUAACGCUAAUACCGCAUACGCCCGAGAGGGGAAAGAUUUAUCGCUAUAAGAUUAGCCCGCGUGAGAUUAGGUAGUUGGUGGGGUAAUGGCCUACCAAGCCGACGAUCUCUAGCUGGUCUGAGAGGAUGAUCAGCCACACUGGAACUGAGACACGGUCCAGACUCCUACGGGAGGCAGCAGUGGGGAAUAUUGGACAAUGGGCGCAAGCCUGAUCCAGCCAUGCCGCGUGAGUGAUGAAGGCCUUAGGGUUGUAAAGCUCUUUCACCGGAGAAGAUAAUGACGGUAUCCGGAGAAGAAGCCCCGGCUAACUUCGUGCCAGCCGCCGCAGUAAGAC